UGCCCUUGGGGGCGGGGGAGUGGGCGGUAUGUUAGCAGGGCGUGUGCCGUGCAGCGAGUGUGCCUGCUAGUCCCGCGUUCUCCUGCUCGUGUCGCUCGGCCCCGCCCGCAGCACCCACCGGCCAUGUCCAAGUCCCUGAAGAAGAUCGUGGAGGAGAGUAGGGAGAAGAACCAGCCCGAGGUGGACAUGUGUGACCGGGGCAUCUCUAACAUGCUGGACGUCUCUGGCUUGUCACGGGAUCGACGGCCGUGGCUCCCCUGUCAACUC